AGAUUGAACGCUGGCGGCAUGCCUUACACAUGCAAGUCGGACGGCAGCGCGGGCUUCGGCCUGGCGGCGAGUGGCGAACGGGUGAGUAAUACAUCGGAACGUAUCCUGGAGUGGGGGAUAGCCCGGCGAAAGCCGGAUUAAUACCGCAUACGCUCUGAGGAGGAAAGCGGGGGACCUUCGGGCCUCGCGCUCAAGGGGCGGCCGAUGGCGGAUUAGGUAGUUGGUGGGGUAAAGGCCUACCAAGCCGACGAUCCGUAGCUGGUCUGAGAGGACGACCAGCCACACUGGGACUGAGACACGGCCCAGACUCCUACGGGAGGCAGCAGUGGGGAAUUUUGGACAAUGGGGGCAACCCUGAUCCAGCAAUGCCGCGUGUGUGAAGAAGGCCUUCGGGUUGUAAAGCACUUUUGUCCGGAAAGAAAUCAUCGGGGCUAAU
rnacentral:rRNA from 1 species